GCCAGCAGCCAUGUCACUCUGCAACUCACAAGUGGCAACCCACUGAAGCUAAGCAGGUGUGAGCCUGGUCAGUACCUGGAUGCCUGGUUUUCACCUGGUUUUCACCUGGGAAAACUAAGGUACUGCUGGAA
rnacentral:rRNA from 1 species